AUUUUGGAGACGAAUAUGACGUGAUGUCAUGUGUAUGAUUGAGUAUAAGAACUUAAACCGCAAACGGGUCUUAAAAGCCU
rnacentral:sRNA from 1 species